rnacentral:rRNA from 1 species
AUUGAACGCUGGCGGCAUGCCUUACACAUGCAAGUCGAACGGUAACGGGCCUUCGGGUGCCGACGAGUGGCGAACGGGUGAGUAAUACAUCGGAACGUGCCCGAUCGUGGGGGAUAACGAGGUGAAAGCUUUGCUAAUACCGCAUACGAUCUACGGAUGAAAGCAGGGGACCGCAAGGCCUUGCGCGGACGGAGCGGCCGAUGGCAGAUUAGGUAGUUGGUGGGAUAAAAGCUUACCAAGCCGACGAUCUGUAGCUGGUCUGAGAGGAUGAUCAGCCACACUGGGACUGAGACACGGCCCAGACUCCUACGGGAGGCAGCAGUGGGGAAUUUUGGACAAAGGGCGCAAGCCUGAUCCAGCCAUGCCGCGUGCAGGAUGAAGGCCUUCGGGUUGUAAACUGCUUUUGUACGGAACGAAAAGCCUUCUUUUAAUACAGGAGGGUCAUGACGGUACCGUAAGAAUAAGCACCGGCUAACUACGUG